GAUGAACGCUGGCGGCGUGCUUAACACAUGCAAGUCGAACGGAAAGGCCAGUGCUUGCCCUGGUACUCGAGUGGCGAACGGGUGAGUAACACGUGGGUGAUCUGCCCUGCACUUCGGGAUAAGCCUGGGAAACUGGGUCUAAUACCGGAUAGGACAAUGGUUUGGAUGCCGUUGUGGAAAGUUUUUUCGGUGUGGGAUGAGCUCGCGGCCUAUCAGCUUGUUGGUGGGGUAAUGGCCUACCAAGGCGUCGACGGGUAGCCGGCCUGAGAGGGUGUACGGCCACAUUGGGGCUGAGAUACGGCCCAGACUCCUAGGGGGGGCAGCAGGGGGGAAUAUUGCACAAUGGGCGCAAGCCUGAGGCAGCGACGCCGCGGGGGGGAUGACGGCCUUCGGGUUGUAAACUCCUUUCGCUAGGGACGAAGCGUAUUUGUGACGGUACCUGGAGAAGAAGCACCGGCUAACUACGUG
rnacentral:rRNA from 1 species